rnacentral:misc_RNA from 1 species
GCAGGGCAAGAAAGGUACCGGGCCAUUACCAGUGCUUAUUAUCGAGGAGCAGUUGGUGCCCUCCUUGUCUAUGACAUAACUAAGAGGCAAACGUUUGACAAUGUUCUGAGGUGGCUACGGGAAUUGAGAGACCACGCAGACUCUAAUAUUGUAAUCAUAAUGGCUGGAAACAAGUCUGACCUUAGGCAUCUUAGAGCAGUCUCUGAGCAGGAUGGUCAAGCUUUAGCUGAGAAGGAAGGGCUGUCAUUUCUUGAGACGUCAGCAUUGGAAGCUUUUAAUGUUGAUAAGGCGUUUCAUACUAUAUUGACAGAUAUAUACCAGAUCAUUAGCAAGAAG